rnacentral:rRNA from 1 species
UACGAAGGGGGGCUAGCGUUGCUCGGAAUGACGGGGCGUAAAGGGCGCGUAGGCGGAUGGCACAGUCAGAUGUGAAAUUCCCGGGCUUAACCUGGGGGGCUGCAUUUGAUACGUGUUGUCUUGAGUUCGGAAGAGGGUCGUGGAAUUCCCAGUGUAGAGGUGAAAUGCGCAGAUAUCGGGAGGAACACCGGUGGCGAAGGCGGUUCUGCUGGCCUUACCUGACGCUGAG